rnacentral:pre_miRNA from 1 species
GGACACAGACACAUACAAGGAAGAAUUGGGUUGUCUGGCAUCGGGGCAGGAACUCGGGGGCCGCUUUCUCCCAGAUGGAGGUGCUCCCAGGGAUCAUUGUUCCUAUGCUGGGACCUCCCAGGUCG